AGAGUUUGAUCAUGGCUCAGAAUGAACGCUGGCGGCGUGCGUAACACAUGCAAGUCGAACGAGAAAUUCCGGGCUUGCUCGGGAGAGUAAAGUGGCGAACGGGUGAGUAACGCGUGGGUAACCUGCCCCUGAAUCUGGAAUAACUUCGCGAAAGCGAGGCUAAUACCGGAUAUUGUCCCAGGGACCUCGGUUCUUGUGAUGAAAGAUGACCUCUUCACGAAAGUUGUCGUUCAGGGAGGGGCCCGCGUACCAUUAGCUAGUUGGUAGGGUAAUGGCCUACCAAGGCGAUGAUGGUUAGCUGGUCUGAGAGGAUGACCAGCCACACUGGCACUGAAACACGGGCCAGACUCCUACGGGAGGCAGCAGUGAGGAAUUUUGCGCAAUAGGGGAAACCCUGACGCAGCAACGCCGCGUGAGCGAAGGAGGCCCUCGGGUCGUAAAGCUCUGUCAAGUGGGAAAAAAGCUUACUGGUAAAUAGCCAGCAAGACUGAUGGUACCAUUGAAGGAAGCACCGGCUAACUCCGUGCCAGCAGCCGCGGUAAUACGGGGGGUGCAAGCGUUAUUCGGAAUCAUUGGGCGUAAAGGGCGCGUAGGCGGCCUGUUAAGUCAGAUGUGAAAGCCCGGGGCUUAACCCCGGAAGUGCAUUUGAAACUGCCAUGCUUGAGUAUGGGAGAGGAGGGUGGAAUUCCGAGUGUAGAGGUGAAAUUCGUAGAUAUUCGGAGGAACACCAGUGGCGAAGGCGGCUCACUGGCUCGAUACUGACGCUGAGG
rnacentral:rRNA from 1 species